rnacentral:rRNA from 1 species
CGUAGGGUGCAAGCGUUAAUCGGAAUUACUGGGCGUAAAGCGUGCGCAGGCGGUUAUGUAAGACAGGUGUGAAAUCCCCGGGCUUAACCUGGGAACUGCAUUUGUGACUGCAUAGCUAGAGUACGGUAGAGGGGGAUGGAAUUCCGCGUGUAGCAGUGAAAUGCGUAGAUAUGCGGAGGAACACCGAUGGCGAAGGCAAUCCCCUGGACCUGUACUGACGCUCAUGCACGAAAGCGUGGGGAGCAAACAGGAUUAGAUACCCUGGUAGUCCACGCCCUAAACGAUGUCAACUGGUUGUUGGGUCUUCACUGACUCAGUAACGAAGCUAACGCGUGAAGUUGACCGCCUGGGGAGCACGGCCGCAAGGUUG